rnacentral:lncRNA from 1 species
ACGGCUUCCACUAGAAGUCAACAGUCUUUACAAAGUUGUUUGAAGCGUCUACGAUGAACAGAGACCGAAUGAGAAGGAGGGGAACUUGUUGAGGCAGGGGAUGACAUCACUUCUUGGCGCACGUUGAUGAGAGUGGAUCCUCCGUUCCAAAACCUUUUUCAAGACACAGGAACUGAAAUAUUACUGAAUAUUCACGUUCUGAAGGCCCUAAAGAUUGAUGUUUUACAACGUUUGACAUGUUUGAACGAACGUAAAUACAACUUUUCUUUACUUUUCAUCGCGACAUCGUCUGCGCGCUUCCUACUUUUGGAGUAGCUUACUGAACGCACGAACAACAAGGAGUUAUUUGGACAAAAAUGAUGGACUUUAUUGAACAAAACAACAUUUGUUUGAGAUUCCUGGAAGUGCCUUCUGAUGAAGAUCAUCAAAGACAUGAGCUCUAGGAUCAUGCCUCAGAACUACCUGGCCUGAUGACUCCUGGCUGUCCCCAGCCCACCUGGUUAUGCUGCUGCUUCAGUUUCAACUGUUCAGCCUGCGGCUAGGGAACCCUGACCUGUUCACCGGACGUGCUACCUUGUCCUGGACCUGCUGUUUUCGACUCUCUCUCUCUCUACCGCACCUGCUGUCUCGACCUCUGAAUGCUCAGCUAUGAAACGCCAACUGACAUUUACUCCUGAGGACACUGGGCAGUAUAUGAGAGGCUGAUGUUUGAUGAGUUAUGUGGCCAUCCG